CAAGAAAUAGUUUAAAAAAAAUUUUAAUUUUGGAGAUUAAAGAUAAGAAUUUCUUUUUCUUGA
rnacentral:tRNA from 1 species